UGGGUGGAGCCCUCUCUACCCCAGGCCCGAAGGAAGGAAAGAGGGUGUGGUGAGAAGGGCGGGCACUCCUGCCUCGCCCACUUCUCCCGCCCUAUUUUUCCCUUCAGGAAGGAUGUUGCUAACAGGUGCGGCGGGCUCUUCACGGACUGCGCCCCGCUGGAGCCUUGUCAGGACCCCCACUUGUGUUUGGGUACAGAGUUUGUACUCAGAGGGGCAUGGCUGGGUCUCAGAGCGUCACCAGAAGGGGAUACUUGCCAACUGACAAAGCACGUGGGAUCUUUAGGUGCAGCAUGUGAUCUCUUGGUUGCAGCAUGUGGGAUGUCGUUCCCUGACUGGAGACUGAACGCAGGCUCUCUGCACUGGGAGUGCGGAGUCUCGGCCCCUGGCCCACCAGGGAAGUCCCUACACACACUGCGUUCUAUACACAGUGUAGUGUUCCUUGCCUGUUACAAUUCAUUUCAGAAGUUAACCCCAUACUGGCACAUACUGGGCUGUCUCUGGCUGCUAAAAGUAAGUGUUUCAUCUUCAGCCAACCAACUCACCCCUAGAAGGAUGUCGUAUUUUCAUGUAGGUCAUGGAGAGGAGAUUUUAAAAGGAAGUAAAACUUGUUUUUGAACCACAGCAUGGGUUGAGGCAAAUAGAAAAAUUACCUUUAAGAAAAUAACCUUUUGAGCUUCUUAAAUUCAGGAAAUGAAACCUUGGUUGAGCAAAAAUUUCCUAGAUACAGCAUCACCAGCACAUCCAUAAAGGAACAAAUCUAAAAAUUAGACUUCUGGGAAUUUCCUGGUGCUCUAGUAGUUAAGACGGCAUUGUCACUGCAGAGGGCCCAGGUUCAAUCCCUGGUUGGGGAACUAAAGGCCCCACAAGCCAUGGGG
ensembl:lncRNA